AUUGAACGCUGGCGGCAGGCCUAACACAUGCAAGUCGAACGGUAACAGGAAGAAGCUUGCUUCUUUGCUGACGAGUGGCGGACGGGUGAGUAAUGUCUGGGAAACUGCCUGAUGGAGGGGGAUAACUACUGGAAACGGUAGCUAAUACCGCAUAACGUCGCAAGACCAAAGAGGGGGACCUUCGGGCCUCUUGCCAUCGGAUGUUCCCAGAUGGGAUUAGCUAGUAGGUGGGGUAACGGCUCACCUAGGCGACGAUCCCUAGCUGGUCUGAGAGGAUGACCAGCCACGCUGGAACUGAGACACGGUCCAGACUCCUACGGGAGGCAGCAGUGGGGAAUAUUGCACAAUGGGCGCAAGCCUGAUGCAGCCAUGCCGCGUGUAUGAAGAAGGCCUUCGGGUUGUAAAGUACUUUCAGCGGGGAGGAAGGGAGUAAAGUUAAUACCUUUGCUCAUUGACGUUACCCGCAGAAGAAGCACCGGCUAACUCCGUG
rnacentral:rRNA from 1 species